CAGCAGCCGCGGUAAUACAGAGGGUGCUAGCGUUAAUCGGAUUUACUGGGCGUAAAGCGUGCGUAGGCGGCUUCUUAAGUCGGAUGUGAAAUCCCUGAGCUUAACUUAGGAAUUGCAUUCGAUACUGGGAAGCUAGAGUAUGGGAGAGGAUGGUAGAAUUCCAGGUGUAGCGGUGAAAUGCGUAGAGAUCUGGAGGAAUACCGAUGGCGAAGGCAGCCAUCUGGCCUAAUACUGACGCUGAGGUACGAAAGCAUGGGGAGCAAACAGGAUUAGAUACCCCAGUAGUCCCUGUCUCUUAUAA
rnacentral:rRNA from 1 species